CGGGGGAAAAACUGCGUUUAAGGACACCAAGAUCCAUGAUGUCCUGUUUGAUGCUCUACAAAAGCAGCUGCCAGGGAGCACACGCUACUUUUAGUGACGCAAUCAAGAAGUGGCUUAAGUAUGCGCCAGAGAGAGAGGGAGGGAUGAGGAGACGUGAGGUGUCUGCGCCGCAGGAGGAAUAGGCCACAAUUAUAAAUUAUAAAUAAAUC